rnacentral:rRNA from 1 species
AUUGAACGCUGGCGGCAUGCCUUACACAUGCAAGUCGAACGGCAGCACGGGAGCUUGCUCCUGGUGGCGAGUGGCGAACGGGUGAGUAAUGUAUCGGAACAUGCCCUGAAGUGGGGGAUAACGUAGCGAAAGUUACGCUAAUACCGCAUAUUCUGUGAGCAGGAAAGCAGGGGAUCGCAAGACCUUGCGCUUUGGGAGUGGCCGAUAUCGGAUUAGCUAGUUGGUGAGGUAAAGGCUCACCAAGGCGACGAUCCGUAGCGGGUCUGAGAGGAUGAUCCGCCACACUGGGACUGAGACACGGCCCAGACUCCUACGGGAGGCAGCAGUGGGGAAUUUUGGACAAUGGGCGCAAGCCUGAUUCAGCCAUGCCGCGUGAGUGAAGAAGGCCUUCGGGUUGUAAAGCUCUUUCGGUGGGGAAGAAAUUGCUUCGGCUAAUACCCGGAGUAGAUGACGGUACCCGCAUAAGAAGCACCGGCUAACUACGUGCCAGCAGCCGCCGUAA